UGGGGAAUAUUGGACAAUGGGCGAAAGCCUGAUCCAGCCAUGCCGCGUGCGUGAUGAAGGCCCUAGGGUUGUAAAGCUCUUUCGACGGGGAAGAUAAUGACGGUACCCGUAUAAGAAGCCCCGGCUAACUUCGUGCCAGCAGCCGCGGUAAUACGAAGGGGGCUAGCGUUGCUCGGAAUUACUGGGCGUAAAGCGCACGUAGGCGGAUCGUUAAGUCGGGGGUGAAAUCCUGGAGCUCAACUCCAGAACUGCCUUCGAUACUGGCGAUCUCGAGUCCGGGAGAGGUGAGUGGAACUCCGAGUGUAGAGGUGAAAUUCGUAGAUAUUCGGAAGAACACCAGUGGCGAAGGCGGCUCACUGGCCCGGUACUGACGCUGAGGUGCGAAAGCGUGGGGAGCAAACA
rnacentral:rRNA from 1 species